rnacentral:rRNA from 1 species
AACGAACGCUGGCGGCAGGCUUAACACAUGCAAGUCGAGCGCCCCGCAAGGGGAGCGGCAGACGGGUGAGUAACGCGUGGGAAUCUACCGUGCCCUACGGAAUAGCUCCGGGAAACUGGAAUUAAUACCGUAUACGCCCUUUGGGGGAAAGAUUUAUCGGGGUAUGAUGAGCCCGCGUUGGAUUAGCUAGUUGGUGGGGUAAAGGCCUACCAAGGCGACGAUCCAUAGCUGGUCUGAGAGGAUGAUCAGCCACAUUGGGACUGAGACACGGCCCAAACUCCUACGGGAGCAGCAGUGGGAAUAUUGGACAAUGGGCGCAAGCCUGAUCCAGCCAUGCCGCGUGAGUGAUGAA